AGCGAACGCUGGCGGCAGGCUUAACACAUGCAAGUCGAGCGGGCAUAGCAAUAUGUCAGCGGCAGACGGGUGAGUAACGCGUGGGAACGUACCUUUUGGUUCGGAACAACACAGGGAAACUUGUGCUAAUACCGGAUAAGCCCUUACGGGGAAAGAUUUAUCGCCGAAAGAUCGGCCCGCGUCUGAUUAGCGAGUUGGUGAGGUAAUGGCUCACCAAGGCGACGAUCAGUAGCUGGUCUGAGAGGAUGAUCAGCCACAUUGGGACUGAGACACGUCCCAAACGCCUACGGGAGGCAGCAGGGGGGAAUAUUGGACAAAGGGCGCAAGCCUGAUCCAGCCAUGCCGCGUGAGUGAUGAAGGCCCUAGGGUUGUAAAGCUCUUUUGUGCGGGAAGAUAAUGACGGUACCGCAAGAAUAAGCCCCGGCUAACUUCGUGCCAGCAGCCGCAGUAA
rnacentral:rRNA from 1 species